rnacentral:snRNA from 10 species
AUGCUCACUUCAGCAGCGCAUAUAAUAAAACUGGAAUAAUAAAGAGAUUAGCAGAUUAGCAUGGAUCCUCCAUAAGAAUGACAUGCAAAUUUGUAAAGCAUUCCAUAUUUUU